rnacentral:rRNA from 1 species
UUUAUGGAGAGUUUGAUCCUGGCUCAGGACGAACGCUGGCGGCGUGCCUAAUACAUGCAAGUCGAGCGGAGUUGUGAGAGAGCUUGCUCUCGAGCAGCUUAGCGGCGGACGGGUGA